AUUGAACGCUGGCGGCAGGCCUAACACAUGCAAGUCGAGCGGAGCGGCGGACGCGUGCGUAAUGCCUAGGAAUCUGCCUGGUCGUGGGGGAUAACGUCCGCUAACGGGCGCUAAUACCGCAUCCUCUCACCUGAGCCUAGGUCGGAUUAGCUAGUUGGUGGGGUAAAGGCCUACCAAGGCGACGAUCCGUAACUGGUCUGAGAGGAUGAUCAGUCACACUGGAACUGAGACACGGUCCAGACUCCUACGGGAGGCAGCAGUGGGGAAUAUUGGACAAUGGGCGAAAGCCUGAUGCAGCCAUGCCGCGUGUGUGAAGAAGGUCUUCGGAUUGUAAAGCACUUUAAGUUGGGAGGCGUUACCAACAGAAGAAGCACCGGCUAACUUCGUGCCAGCAGCCGCGGUAAUUC
rnacentral:rRNA from 1 species